rnacentral:rRNA from 1 species
UCGUAACAAGGUUUCUGUAGGUGAACCUGCAGAAGGAUCAUUAGUGAAGAUUUGGGCAGGCCAUACGGACGUCAAAAAGUGUCCCUGGCCGCCUACACCCACUAUACAUCCACAAACCCGUGUGCACUGUCUUGGAGAAAGGCUUCAGAGGAGUUUUUUGUGGCCUCUCUUGGGGUCUUUCUUCGCUACAAACUCGAAUGGUUAGUAUGAACGUGGAACUUGGUUGGACCGUCACUGGCCAACAAACUAUACACAACUUUCGACAACGGAUCUCUUGGUUCUCCCAUCGAUGAAGAACGCAGCGAAACGCGAUAGGUAAUGUGAAUUGCAGAAUUCCGUGAAUCAUCGAAUCUUUGAACGCACCUUGCGCUCUAUGGCAAUCCGUAGAGCAUGCCUGUUUGAGUGCCAUGAAAUCUCCCACCCCAAGCGGUUUUUAAAUGAAACGGCUUGGCGGAUGGGGUCUGGAUGGGUGCCUCUGCCUGCGCUACCUAGCACAGGCUCGCCCGAAAUGCAUGAGCGCCUUGAGACACUUUGCAUCCGCCUCUCUGUUUGGGAGGAGGCGGCCAAGCAGUGUUUUUCUCCUGGCAUGGCAUGAUACGUCAUUUGCUAUGUCGCCUAAAGGAGGAAUGUUUGGUUGUGUCUGCGUGUGCUUCGAACUUGCCUCUGUGGCACAUCCCAAUUUCACUUCUGGUCUCAAAUCAGGUAGGAUCACCCGCUGAACUUAAGCAUAUCAAUA